GCGCGGUUAGCUCAGUUGGUAGAGCAUCACCUCGACACGGUGGGGGUCACAGGUUCGAGCCCUGUACCGCGCACCA
rnacentral:tRNA from 1 species